rnacentral:sRNA from 12 species
GGCCUAACCCAACAAUUUCGAUUGUUGGCAUGGUCAAAAACCAGUAACGGAUAAAGAACCCAUCGUCUAGGUUCACCUUUACCGGUCAUGCUCCGAAAGGAGUAUGGGUAGCCCUAAAAAGCUAUC